rnacentral:rRNA from 1 species
UUAGAGACAGGUGCUGCACGGCUGUCGUCAGCUCGUGUCGUGAGAUGUUGGGUUAAGUCCCGCAACGAGCGCAACCCACGUAUUUAGUUGCUAACGGUUCGGCCGAGCACUCUAAAUAGACUGCCUUCGUAAGGAGGAGGAAGGUGUGGACGACGUCAAGUCAUCAUGGCCCUUAUGCCCAGGGCGACACACGUGCUACAAUGGCAUAUACAAUGAGACGCAAUACCGCGAGGUGGAGCAAAUCUAUAAAAUAUGUCCCAGUUCGGAUUGUUCUCUGCAACUCGAGAGCAUGAAGCCGGAAUCGCUAGUAAUCGUAGAUCAGCCAUGCUACGGUGAAUACGUUCCCGGGUCUUGUACUCACCGCCCGUCACACCAUGGGAGUUGAUUUCACUCGAAGCCGGAAUACUAAACUAGUUACCGUCCACAGUGGAAUCAGCGACUGGGGUGAAGUCGUAACAAGGUAACCGUAGGAGAACCUGCGGUUGGAUCACCUCCUUUCUAG